rnacentral:piRNA from 1 species
UAAAACAAUCUUCUACAAUUCAACAGGG